UGUAUAGAGGCAUAUUUGUGAAUCUAUUCAUUGGGAGACAGGCUGUAUGGGUAAUAUUAGCAAUUUCAGGGUGAGUUCAAAAAAAAAAAAAAAAAACUCCCGGGAGGUAGACAGAUCAGUGUUACCGUCUUUCCACUAAACAAAGCGGUAUUUGAAUCUGAACUUAUGAUCAAAUGUAGCUUAAAUGACACUUUGCCACAUUUUAGCUGCACACUAAAGCUCUAAAUACAUUUUCGUUGGCUUUGGGAAGGCGCUUCCUCGUAUUAUUUAUAUUUCAGCUUAUUAUGCAAUAUAUUUCCAACUUAUACGACCACAUGAGGAUCAUGCGCAUGCGACAAGUUUGCUCCACAUUUUGACUCUGCGCCGCCGUGCUUCACCCUCGCCCCUCGCCUCGUCACGAAGGAGUCAUCGCCAUUAGCAUCAUCGUAAUGUCGUUGGAACCGUUGCAAGAUGUUUGAACGGUCUCCGCGCUCGCUCGUCCAUUUGUGAACAAAGGAGGCCGUGAUUUUGCGUCGUAUGGGCGGCUGCAGUGUUGCGUCCCGUCAGGCCAUGAAAGAAGGAAGGAGGAUAUGAUUUUGCGUCG